rnacentral:antisense_RNA from 1 species
GAAAAGCACCUAUACCUAACAAAAUUAAAUGAAUAUCUAAAAUUGUAGUCAUUUUAUUUCUAUCUUUCCA